CACCCUCCCACCCUCCGUCUCACACGUCCCUGAACUUUCACCUCAUUGACUUCAACGUGCUGACAGUGACAACCAUCGUGCUGGCACGGCGGCUCAUUGGUGCUGUGGUCAAGGAGGCUUCCCAGAGUGGCAAAGUGUCCCUGCCACGCUCCAUCUUCCUGGUGGUCACUCGCUUCGCCGUCCUCACGGGCACAGGCUGGAGUUUGUGUCGCUCCAUCAUCCACCUCUUCAGGACCUACUCAUUCCUCAACCUCCUGUUCCUGUGCUACCCGUGAGUAUCCCUGGCUCUGGGCUGGGGGAUGCACCCAAAGUCCAGGGGGAGGCUCCCUGCAGCCCUGAGGGGUUCUGAGCUGGA